rnacentral:pre_miRNA from 1 species
GGAUUUUAUGGAAGUGGAGGGAUAGGUAAAACAACUACUUCUGUAAAAGUAAUUGUUAUAGUUAGUUGUUGUUUUACCUAUUCCACCAAUUCCAUCUAUCC